CAGACAUACCUAAGCUGACAGAGGCCAGUUACCAAAAAAAAAAGUAUACAUGUGGGAGCAUGUGUUGAGCUUAAGUAAAAAUAAUAGAAGAUCCACAUUUUCAAGAGAGUCUUAUUGAAAACAAGAACAAGAACAAAUACCUAUCAGCUUGGAGAUAAAAGUGACCAACUCUAUACCACAUUAAGGGGUGUUGAAUGGAUAAAUUCUGUCAAAUCAUCAAAGUUCCUGUUAUACUCUUUUCGCAAAGCAAUGUGUGCUCAAUCGUCUUCAAUAUAACCAAGGAAGAUCUGUGAUUCUAAACCUAGAUGCAUGUUAGUCAUCUGGGAAAUCUUAAAAGAAAAGCAAUUCAAAGAAACUAGAUCCAAGUCUCUGGGAGUAGAGUCUAGGCAUUUUGAAAGCUCUCCAGGUUAUUGAAUUAUGGAGUGAGGUAAGAUUCUGGAAGAGAUGACACAACCCCUACACCAAGAACCCAUCAGGUUUCUGAGAAAUAAGAAACAAAUGCAUAAACUCCGUGCAUGUCCUCAUUUCCAUAUAUUUAGUGAUUGAUCUAAACUGCUAUUAACCUCAAACAUGGUAUUAGGACUCGGUGACUAAUGGCUAUUUCUGAGUCAAAAAUGAAAUAUCACUUAUUUUCAUGAUGUAAUAAAAGUCAAGAGAACAUUAACUCAGA